rnacentral:lncRNA from 1 species
CACAGUCUUCUUCUUAAUCUUUCCAUGUAUCAGAUAGCAUACUCCUUGAUUGGUUCAGAACAAGGAAUUAGACAUAGGUUCAAAGUGACAUUUACAUCAAGACCAUGUAGCAGAUGAACUCAAAGGGGAUAUCAAUAUUUGUAUCAGAUGAAAGCUCAAAUCAUAAUGACUUGGGUUCAGAAAUGUUGGCCUUGGACAAUUCCUUUUGCAUAGAGAAUGUUACUUAAUUCUAAGUCCAAAGCUCAGAUCAAAU